rnacentral:rRNA from 1 species
GCGUGAGUGAUGAAGGCCUUCGGGUUGUAAAGCUCUUUUGCCCGGGACGAUAAUGACGGUACCGGGAGAAUAAGCCCCGGCUAACUCCGUGCCAGCAGCCGCGGUAAUACGGAGGGGGCUAGCGUUGUUCGGAAUCACUGGGCGUAAAGCGUACGUAGGCGGCUUGCCAAGUCAGGGGUGAAAGCCUGGGGCUUAACCUCAGAACUGCCCUUGAAACUGGCUCGCUUGAACACAGGAGAGGUGAGUGGAAUUCCGAGUGUAGAGGUGAAAUUCGU